GGGAGGUUACCCAAGCUUGGCUGAAGGGGGCAGACUCGAAAUCUGUUAGGCGGGUAAAACCGUGCAAGGGUUCGAAUCCCUUACCUUCCG
rnacentral:tRNA from 1 species